AGUAGACUCCAUUUACAAUUCCAGUUGGAACUGUUCUUGUUCCUCAAUUUUCAGCGAUUGAGUUUUCUUGACCAAGUCUGUGGGCACGGGCACACACUUGCGGAAGGGAGUGCGAGGAGUGCCGCGCAUCAGGCAGCUGGGGAUGUUGCUGGGCGGAGUUUGACUUAGAGGAGA